rnacentral:rRNA from 1 species
UACGGGGGGAGCAAGCGUUGUUCGGAUUUACUGGGCGUAAAGGGCGCGUAGGCGGCCACCGCAAGUCGGUUGUGAAAUCUCUGGGCUUAACCCAGAAAGGUCAACCGAUACUGCGGGGCUAGAGUGCAGAAGGGGCAACUGGAAUUCUCGGUGUAGCGGUGAAAUGCGUUGAUAUCGAUAGGAACUCCGGUGGCGAAGGCGGCAUACUGGUCCACUUCUGACGCUGAGGCGCGAAAGCCAGGGGAGCGAACGGG